UUCUGUCACAGCUUUCGAGUCUUGAGGCUUAAUCACCCUGCUGUUCUGCCUUUUCUCUAUUUCAUGAAAGAAAGGGUAGAGAAGACACGUGUGUAUUUCACACAGACUUCUUUGGUUCCUUUUGACGAUUUCUGCGUGCCUCUUCCCUGAUUCCUCCUUGUGUUUGCUGCUAACAGCCUGCCCAUGUGAAAUGCUUCAGAACCCUGCCCUUGGGCUCACGGAGUCAUGUUGCCUACACCUGGGAAUUUGGAUGGCCCUUAGCAAGUGACUUACUCUGUGGGAGCACAAAAACCCAGCUCCCUUGGCUGGGGUCAGGACGAACACAUCCUCAUGCUAUGCACAUAUAACCAAAUCAAGGCACCAGUAUUUACUGUGGAAUUCAAGAGGAAAAGCUCAGUCUCUGUGGGAAUGGCUUAGAAACAGUGAUUCCCACCCAUUUCCAGACUCCUUGGAAGUUAAAUUCAAGUCAACAGCUGCCAAAGAACUUUCCGUGAGUCGAGGACACUACCAAGCAUGGAAGGAUUAGAGAGAAGUCCAACCAAGCCCAUGACACUUGCCUGGAGGCCACUUCUGUACCAAUCAUCUCUGUUAGUGACACAUCUUCUUUCUUUGGUUUUUGACCUGUCAAGGCCAAUCCUCAGAGAAUCCUAAUGGCUGGAGAAUGUACUGGGUUUCUGAAAGACAAGAGUUGGGCUCCAACCAAAGAUGAAUUGGCUCAACCUGUGGGAGCCAUGAACUAGCUUGACGUGAAGCUUCGGGUCAGUGAGGAUUGUCUACAGGAGGACUUUGUGACAAGUACACUAUUUACCAAGGUAGUGAGGGGAGUGUACAGUCUCCCUGAAGGUUGCCAAGAAUUUUAGGUUGUUUCCCAAUCUGCAGGCACUGGUGUGUUGUCCCCCAGCUCUGGUCAGCAUGUGGCUUCUGCCCAGCAGCUUUAAUGUUGUUACAUACUGCAUAUCCCCCGUGCCUUUUGCAAAAUGGCUAGCAAGAACACAUCCCUGUCUUUCCUCUGUCUGUGGUGAAGCAGAAGUUGGCUGCCAUCUACCUCUACCAUGUGAACUCAUGCUGGUCCUACCACUGAUGCUAAGAGAAGUGCUUUGCCCACAGGUAAACAAUUCAGAAAGGAGCCAGCCUUUAUUGGUUGUAAAAUAAAAAAUCCUGAAUUGCCUUGCCACAAAAAUCUGACUAGUAUAGAAUUAAUAAAGUCAGAUGAUCACAGACUAUGAAAGUUCUCAGAGACUUAGAAAUCCUCUAACGUAGUCUUACUCUACCACCAAGAAUCAGACCAGGGAGAUCAAGACCUAUGGAUAUAGGAAAGGCAGAAUUUUGGAGCUCCAGUGGCACAAUUGGUUAUAUAGGAAAGGCAGAAUUUUUAGGAAGCACUGUGGAAGGGGGAAAAUAUUUCUGAUCCUUUUGUACAACCCUCCUUCCCCAAUCCUUCCCCCACUCAUCAUGCCUUUCCUGGUGCCCAGCAACAAAGGUGUAACAUUAUCACAGUGAGGAAUAGUUUUUGCAGUGCUUUCACAAACAUCAUCUCAUUCCCCUCCCCAAGCACAUUGUGAGGUCUGUGCAGUGGGCAUUAUGAGUCCCAUUAUACAGAUGAGGUUACCCACCAAGGCUCAGAGAGCUUAAAAGACUUUGCUCCAGAGUCGAUGCAUGUUUCAGUUAGGAUUAUGCACAGACACUCAAAAUAGCUGUGGUUAAAACAACAUAAGAGUUUAUUUUUCUUUCCCAUUGGAGACUGGGGGUAAGCUCUGCUCCACAAAGUUAUAGGGACCAAGGAUCCAUCCAUUGCUCUGCCAUUACUAGGAUGUGGUCCUUGCCUUCAUGAUCCAAGAUAGCAGCUAGAACUCCAGCCAUCACAUUUUCAUUCCAGGCAGCAUAAUGAAAGAAUGGGUGGAUGAUAAAAAGAGGGAAGAAAAGCCUGCCCUUUCCCUUUAAGGACACUUGCUGAAAGUUGCACUCACCAUUUCUACCCUGCCUCCAGAAUUUAGUCACAUGGCCACACCUAAUUGCAAGGAAGGCUAGGAAAUAUGGUCUUUAUUCCAGAUGAUCAUGUGCCCAAGUAAAAAUUCGAGGCUCCAUUUCUGUGAAAAGAGGGACACCAUAUAUUGGGAAAAACUAGUCAUUUCUGCUACAGUGAUUUUGCCAUCGAGGGAGGAAUCAGCUUUUA